UACGUAGGGUGCGAGCGUUAAUCGGAAUUACUGGGCGUAAAGCGUGCGCAGGCGGUUUUGUAAGCCAGAUGUGAAAUCCCCGGGCUUAACCUGGGAAUGGCAUUUUGGGACUGCAAGGCUGGAGUGCGGCAGAGGAGACUGGAAUUCCUGGUGUAGCAGUGAAAUGCGUAGAUAUCAGGAGGAACACCGAUGGCGAAGGCAGGUCUCUGGGCUGACACUGACGCUCAUGCACGAAAGCGUGGGGAGCAAACAGG
rnacentral:rRNA from 1 species